UACAGAGGUCUCAAGCGUUGUUCGGAAUCACUGGGCGUAAAGCGCACGUAGGCGGAUGUGUCAGUCAGGGGUGAAAUCCCGGAGCUCAACUUCGGAACUGCCUUUGAUACAGCACGUCUUGAGUCCGAUAGAGGUGGGUGGAAUUCCUAGUGUAGAGGUGAAAUUCGUAGAUAUUAGGAAGAACACCGGUGGCGAAGGCGGCCCACUGGAUCGGUACUGACGCUGAGGUGCGAAAGCGUGGGGAGCAAACAGG
rnacentral:rRNA from 1 species